GAUUGCAUGAGUGCAGUGAACAAGAAAUUAUAUGCAUGUGUAUUUUGUUGGAGGUUUGGAGCUAUCUCAUUGUUUUUAAUUCUAUUGCUGUUCAUUGAAAAAGAAUAGAUGCCAAUGUUUGAGGAGAAUUAAUCUUAUAUAGCAUAGAGAGUGGAAGAUUGUGUUGAUCCAUCAGUGAACAAUUCUUAUGUUUACAGGAAGUGUAAAUGGAUGUGUGGGGAAUGCUUUGAAACUGAAUAUGGA
rnacentral:misc_RNA from 1 species